rnacentral:rRNA from 1 species
AGUUGUAAUUUGUAGAGGGCACUUCGGGCGCGCGUCCGGCCUAAGUUCCUUGGAACAGGGCGUCAUAGAGGGUGAGAAUCCCGUACGUGGCCGGCCGUCACCCCGUGUGAAGUCCCUUCGACGAGUCGAGUUGUUUGGGAAUGCAGCUCAAAAUGGGUGGUAAAUUCCAUCUAAAGCUAAAUACCGGCCGGAGACCGAUAGCGCACAAGUAGAGUGAUCGAAAGAUGAAAAGCACUUUGAAAAGAGAGUCAAACAGUAUGUGAAAUUGUUGAAAGGGAAGCGCUGGCAACCAGACGUGCCCGCGGGCGAUCACCCGGCCUUCGGGUCGGCGCACUCGCCCGCGAUCAGGCCAGCAUCGGUUUCGGCGGCCGGACAAAGGCGCGCGGGAACGUAGCUUCCUUCGGGGAGUGUUAUAGCCCGCGCCGCAAUGCGGCCCGCCGGGACCGAGGACCGCGCUUGGGCUAGGAUGCUGGCGUAAUGGUUGUCAGCGACCCGUCUUGAAACACGGACCAAGGAGUCUNACAUUCAUGCGAGUGUUUGGGCGUCAAACCCAUGCGCGGAAUGAAAGUGAACGGAGGUGGGAGCCUCGGCGCACCAUCGACCGAUCCUGAUGUCUUCGGAUGGAUUUGAGUAUGAGCAUGGCUGUUGGGACCCGAAAGAUGGUGAACUAUACGUGAAUAGGGUGAAGCCAGAGGAAACUCUGGUGGAGGCUCGCAGCGGUUCUGACGUGCAAAUCGAUCGUCAAAUUUGCGUAUAGGGGCGAAAGACUAAUCGAACCA